GACGAACGCUGGCGGCGUGCUUAACACAUGCAAGUCGAACGGAAAGGCCCUGAGUUUGUGGGGUGCUCGAGUGGCGAACGGGUGAGUAACACGUGAGUAACCUGCACUUGACUUUGGGAUAACUUCAGGAAACUCGGGCUAAUACCGGAUAGGAGCUCCUGCUGCGUGGUGGGGGUUGGAAAGUUUCGGCGGUUGGGGAUGGACUCGCGGCUUAUCAGCUUGUUAGUGGGGUAGUGGCUUACCAAGGCUUUGACGGGUAGCCUGCCUGAGAGGGUGACCGGCCACAUUGGGACUGAGAUACGGCCCAGACUCCUACGGGACGCAGCAGUGGGGAAUAUUGCACAAUGGGCGGAAGCCUGAUGCAGCAACGCCGCGUGCGGGAUGACGGCCUUCGGGUUGUAAACCGCUUUCGCCGGUGACGAAGCGUGCGUGACGGUAAUUGGUAAAGAAGCACCGGCUAACUACGUG
rnacentral:rRNA from 1 species